GGGGAUGACGGUACCGGAAGAAUAAGCACCGGCUAACUACGUGCCAGCAGCCGCGGUAAUAUGUAGGGUGCAAGCGUUAAUCGGAAUUACUGGGCGUAAAGCGUGCGCAGGCGGUUUUGUAAGACGGAUGUGAAAUCCCCGGGCUUAACCUGGGAACUGCAUUCGUGACUGCAAGGCUAGAGUAUGGCAGAGGGGGGUAGAAUUCCACGUGUAGCAGUGAAAUGCGUAGAGAUGUGGAGGAAUACCGAUGGCGAAGGCAGCCCCCUGGGCCAAUACUGACGCUCAUGCACGAAAGCGUGGGGAGCAAACAGGAUUAGAUACCCUGGUAGUCCACGCCCUAAACGAUGUCAACUAGUUGUUGGGGAUUCAUUUCCUUAGUAACGAAGCUAACGCGUGAAGUUGACCGCCUGGGGAGUACGGUCGCAAGAUUAAAACUCAAAGGAAUUGACGG
rnacentral:rRNA from 1 species